rnacentral:rRNA from 1 species
UACGUAGGGAGCAAGCGUUGUCCGGAAUCAUUGGGCGUAAAGCGCGCGUAGGCGGCCUCAUAAGUCCGUUGUGAAGAUAAGAAGCACCAUUCAAUUGAACGCGAGUGAUACUGUGAGGCUAGAGUCCGGAAGAGGCGAGUGGAAUUCCUGGUGUAGCGGUGGAAUGCGCAGAUAUCAGGAGGAACACCAAUAGCGAAGGCAGCUCGCUGGGACGGUACUGACGCUAAGGCGCGAAAGCGUGGGGAGCGAACAGG